AUGACGUGUCAGCCCGGUGCCGCAGCAAGUGGAAGAUCAAGCCUGCUGAACGCGUCUGUAGCUUAUAUUCAACAAAAAAGGGCAGAAUCCAGCACCCCCAGCAAACUGCCUCCUCAUCGAGCUCCAUUUGUCUGCAAGAAUGCGUCAGAGAUCAUUGGUAUGGGCAGAUGGAGAGAGGACCUCAUAACAUACCUGGUAGGAGAAGGGAGCACAAUGGCUCAGCAGCAGUUCAAAAUGGCAUCCAUUGUUGGGAUGGGCGGUGUGGGCAAAACAACCCUUGCCAGCCUUGUGUAUGAGGAGAUUGGAAAUAAGUACCAGUCCCGGGCUUUUGUGUCCGUCACUCCAACCGCCAACAUGAAGGAGGUUCUCACAAGUAUUCUCCAACAAGUAGGAGCUGAACUACCUGCUGGCACCAAAGCAAGGACGGAGGAAGAUACCAUCCACACCAUAUCGAAUUUCCUAGAGGACAAAAGGCUAUAUGUCUUCAUCUCAACCCGGUGUUUUUUAACCUGGUGUGGCUUACAGUUAUCAUCUGUUCAAGCAUAUAAUCAAUGGUGA
rnacentral:rRNA from 1 species